CUCUUCUUCAGUACGAGAUGAAGGGGAUUUCAAAAUAUCUCGUUGGAAUCAUUCUGUUCGUGCACUCGAACAUCAAACUGACAUCAGGAGCAUCUGUUGUCUUGCAAUGCACUGGGAAGAGACAGAACGACGGACAGUUCCUCUUUGUCAUUUUGUAUAACAGUAAAGAGUACUUCAGUGACUGCGAGAAACAGUGGCUUGUCAAUGGAACUCUGACAGGACUUUUUGAGGAAGGAAAUCCAUCUUUCAUCUCUCCUAUUACAAAUCUGACCGCAAGCACCGCCACCUUGCAGGCCUGUCCUGAAAAUCUCGAGUGCCUGCUCUCCUGCCCCACCGGCAAAAUCAAUGAAAAGCAGCAGUGCUCUUGUGAUAUCAGCGCUCUGACUUCACUUUCUGAAGUAGGUUUUCCUGACUGGAACACUGGUGUUUGGAUUGGAGUGAGUUUGUCUGUGGUUCUGUUGGUGUCUGUGAUUAUCGCCAUUGUACUUUAUAAGAUAAAACAAAGGUCAAGAUUUGGACCUAGUGUUCCAGUUCCUGCUGAAGAGAUUGAUUGAUUCUGGUAUGUACUGUAGCAUCAGUAGUCUGUGUGUAUGAAUAAUCCAAAUCAUUACCUUUAAUCAUAUGUUUUGAAAUAUACAUUCAAUUUGAUAGUCAACUACAGUAUAAAACAACAGCUUCUAAAAAGCUUUCACUUUUCUUUUUACCACAGAAGAAGUUCCAUCAUCACACCUGGACCUUUUAUCUUCAGUUAUUCAUUACUCCAGAAGUAAUCUUUUUUAUAAUUUUCAUCAUUUAUAUAGCAUAAGCAUUAGCUAUAUUAUUCUAUUUGUGUUGGCUACAUUUAGCAUCUCAGUG
rnacentral:lncRNA from 1 species